GGCUCGGUAGUGGAUGGUCCACAUCUGCGUCCAAUAGUCCAGGGCUCUUGUUCUAUGCAGCAGAGUAAGCCUGUUCGAUUCAGGCCUGAGCCC